AACGAACGCUGGCGGCAGGCUUAACACAUGCAAGUCGAACGCCCCGCAAGGGGAGUGGCAGACGGGUGAGUAACGCGUGGGAAUCUACCCAUCUCUGCGGAAUAGCUCCGGGAAACUGGAAUUAAUACCGCAUACGCCCUACGGGGGAAAGAUUUAUCGGGGAUGGAUGAGCCCGCGUUGGAUUAGCUAGUUGGUGGGGUAAAGGCCUACCGAGGCGACGAUCCAUAGCUGGUCUGAGAGGAUGAUCAGCCACAUUGGGACUGAGACACGGCCCAAACUCCUACGGGAGGCAGCAGUGGGGAAUAUUGGACAAUGGGCGCAAGCCUGAUCCAGCCAUGCCGCGUGAGUGAUGAAGGCCUUAGGGUUGUAAAGCUCCUUCACCGGUGAAGAUAAUGACGGUAACCGGAGAAGAAGCCCCGGCUAACUUCGUGCCAGCCGCCGCCGUAAAAC
rnacentral:rRNA from 1 species